UAUCUAUAUAUACGGACAUGUAUAACUGUCUGUAAAUUACAUAAAAAAAGCUCUCGGAUUUCACAAUACAUUAUUAUCCUGAGUCCUGAGGAUGUAGUAGAAUUCUUCGGAAGAUAAUGUGAGACAAAUAAAAGAAGCAGGCCAGUAAAUCAGAGGACGUACCAUUUACGGGUCUUUUUGGGAAUGUUGAACAAACAAUUGACGACUAAUAAAGCGACGGGAGGCCCACGUGGGAAGGGCAUGCAUCCCAAGAUAAUAUUCCAUUGGGUUUAAAUUUUUUAGGAGAAUAACUAUACCAACUAUACCAACGGAAUCGUAAACUCCAACAGACAUAAUGUCUAAUUGAACUGGCUAAUUACUGGCCAAAAACUCGAUUUUAUCUACACUAAGGAAGCGAUGAAUUACUAGACAGUUUUGAAUAACAAUUUACGAUCAAGAUGGAAGUUAAGAGGAGGGUUCAGUGAGUGGCUUGUUUGACGGAUAGCACGUAAUAUCAUGCCUGCGGCGAAUCCGUGGGCGCCCAACAACAGUGUGGAUGGGCAUUAUGAGUGCGAGAAAAUAUCACUGAGGGCAUCGAGUCAAUGGCAUUGGACUAUUAUCCGGUAUCUUUGUAUCAUAUAUGAUGCUAUGAUGCGUGUAUCAUAUUCGAUAAAAGCUUGAGGAUAGAAGAAGACUAUAGAGGCAAGACCAACAUUAAAAACAAUAAACUUUAAAUUAAUACGUUUGAUACAAAGCCUUAAAUGUAGAUUACACGCACGUAUUAAGUUUCACGAUGUUUGGGUGGAAUAAGCGAUCGGAAUUGAUAAAUAUUUUGCGCAAAUGACAUUGUAAGAGAA